rnacentral:rRNA from 1 species
GGGAGCGAAAUUUAGUAGCGAAGUAGCUGAUUUCACACUGUCAAGAAAAGUCUCUAUCGAGGUUAAAGGUACCCGUACCUCAUACAGACACAGCUGGGUGAGGAGUGUUUCCGAAGGCCCGCGAGAGCACUGUUGUUAAGGAACUCGGCAAAAUGACCCCGUAACUUAGGGAUAAGGGGUGCCACCAUCAGGUGGCCGCAGAGAAUAGGCCCAAGCGACUGUUUACCAAAAACA